rnacentral:lncRNA from 1 species
GUCUCUUUUCUUUUGCUCAACAGCAGAGUUCUCCAAUGGCUCCAGCUGCUUCUUCCUCUUCUCCACCAGGCUCCCCUCCUCUAAUUCUGCAUUCCCCAGGAUCACCAUUCUUCAACAUUUCCCAUAAAGCAGUCAAACCAAAUUCCCAGGUGAAGAAUGGUGGUCAAGAAUCAGAAUUUGAGUCUAGAAUUAGAAGUAGAAUUAUGAAGUUUAUGAACUUAUCAGAAGAUGAUUAUGCUAUGGUGUUCACAGCCAAUCAAUCAUCAGCCUUCAAACUACUAGCAGACACUUACCCUUUUCAGCAGAACAGAAAUUUGAUCACAGUUUAUGAUCACGAGAGUGAGGCAGUUGAUUUGAUGGUUGAAAGCUCCAGGAAGAAAGGAGCAAGAAUCUAUUCCGCAGAGUUCUUAUGGCCAAACCUAAACAUCUCUACCGGAAAAUUAAGAAGACUAAUAGUCAGUAAACGGAAGAGGAAGAAGAAGAUGAAGAUGAAGAUGAACAAAAGGGGGUUAUUUGUACUCCCACUUCAGUCAAGAUUAACAGGAACCCCAUAUUCAUAUCAAUGGCUGAACAUAGCUCGAGAUAACGAAUGGGAUGUCUGCCUAGAUACAUGUGCACUAGGGCCAAAAGACAUGGAAACUUUAGGCCUCUCGCUUUUCAAGCCUGAAUUUCUAAUUUCUUCUUUCUACAAAGUUUUUGGCGAAAACCCAUCGGGGUUUGGUUGUUUGUUCAUCAAGAAAUCCAAUGUUUCAUUGAUGGAGAGUUUACUCACCUCCCCUGCAAACAUUGGCGUUAUAACUCUUAUCUCAACAUCACCAUCAUUUCCAUUUACAGAAGAACCUGAAACUACAGAAACCAAAACUCAACAAAUUUCAAAACCCACCCUAGAAAUUCAAAAUCUAGCUAUACCAGAGUCGCGAAAUUCACCUGAAAUCACUGAAGCCACAGAAAUCGAAGAGGAAGAACUCUCAAUCACAGGAAUUGUCGAAUCGACAACACCUUUCGUAUCCACUCGAUCAACCAACACAGAAAUGAACUCAUACAUGGAUUGCAGAGGCUUAGAUCAUGCAGAUUCA